rnacentral:misc_RNA from 1 species
AAUUUGGUAGUAGUUUCCAUGUCAUACAGUAUAUUACAGAGAAAAAGCGUGGGAGAAAUAUACAUUAACACCCACAAGAACAAUAAGAUGCCGUCUAAAGGAUAGUUUCUAUCAGUGACUUUCAUACCUUAAAUGAAAGGAUAAUAUUUUGGUUUUUUGACAUUCAUCUUAGAAAUUGUAGAAUUAACAUUUUUUUGUCCAAAAAACCUUGUAAUCAGUGCAUAUCUAGUAGUCCUAGAAAAAU